AGUGAACGCUGGCGGUAGGCCUAACACAUGCAAGUCGAACGGCAGCACAGUAAGAGCUUGCUCUUACGGGUGGCGAGUGGCGGACGGGUGAGGAAUACAUCGGAAUCUACUUUUUCGUGGGGGAUAACGUAGGGAAACUUAUGCUAAUACCGCAUACGACCUACAGGUGAAAGCAGGGGAUCUUCGGACCUUGCGCGAUUGAAUGAGCCGAUGUCGGAUUAGCUAGUUGGCGGGGUAAAGGCCCACCAAGGCGACGAUCCGUAGCUGGUCUGAGAGGAUGAUCAGCCACACUGGAACUGAGACACGGUCCAGACUCCUACGGGAGGCAGCAGUGGGGAAUAUUGGACAAUGGGCGCAAGCCUGAUCCAGCCAUACCGCGUGGGUGAAGAAGGCCUUCGGGUUGUAAAGCCCUUUUGUUGGGAAAGAAAAGCAGCAGGUUAAUACCCCGCUGUUCUGACGGUACCCAAAGAAUAAGCACCGGCUAACUUCGUG
rnacentral:rRNA from 1 species